ACUGCCAUUAAUAAUAGUAAUAAUGUUAUGGAUGAAAAAUCAAAAUUGAAAACAAUUGUUGAUGAUAAACAUCAUCAUCGGCAAUCGAAAAACCAAAUGAUGGUGGAUCAUCAAUCCGAUAUGAAUAAUGUUAUUGAUGAUACCGAUAAUCAGCAGCAAAAGCAUCAUCCAGCUUCGAAUGAAUGUAAUAAUUUUGAAAGUUUUAAAAAGAAUGCUGUACAUGUAAAUGAUUUGGAAAAUCAUUGGCAUCAAGAAGUGGUUUCGACUUCUUCGGUUUCAGAAAUGAAAAAACAACAUGCCAAUGUGCAGCAGCAACAUGAUUUGAUGAGUCCGAAUCCCAAUCGAUCCAUGAUGCAUCAUCAUGUUGUUCCAAAGAAUGAAGCAAUCAUUGUGAAUAAAACAUUUCAUCAUCAUCAUCAUCAUCGCCCAAGUCCAACAAUAAACAAUCAAAACAGCAACAAAUGUGUUUCAUAAGCUGUCUAAGAAAAUAUCGUAAUGUUUGUCUACAGGACACUGCCGAGCUUAGCAUUAAUAAUUAUGCAAAUCUUGUUAAUUUUAUCUAUACACAUUGGAUUAAUCAAAAAGUUUGUCAAGAAUAAUUGUUGAUUGAUAAUUUUUUUCGAUUGAUUGAUCCUGAUGAUGAUGAUGAUGAUGACAUUCACUCAAUUUCUUCUUUUUUUCCCGAAAUAAUAUGUGUUAUUAUUGUGCUUUGUUUAUUUUUCAAAACUAUAAUCAUCGUCGUUUCGUUUCGUUUCGUUUUUUCUUGUCCCUUAUUCCCACCAUUUAUUUUUCCCUUGUGUGUGU